CCUACGGGUGGCUGCAGUGAGGAAUAUUGGUCAAUGGGCGCAAGCCUGAACCAGCCAUCCCGCGUGAAGGAAGAAGGCGCUAUGCGUCGUAAACUUCUUUUCUAGAGGAAGAAAAACUCCGACGUGUCGGGGCUUGACAGUACUCUGGGAAUAAGCAUCGGCUAACUCCGUGCCAGCAGCCGCGGUAAUACGGAGGAUGCAGGCGUUAUCCGGAUUUAUUGGGUUUAAAGGGUGCUAAUAAGUCAUAGGAGAAAUCCUGCAGCUUAACUGUAGAAUUGCCAUUGAUACUGUUGCUCUUGAGUAUGGUCAAGGUAGGCGGAAUGUGUAAUGUAGCGGUGAAAUGCUUAGAUAUUACACAGAACACCGAUUGCGAAGGCAGCUUGCUGGGCCAUUACUGACGCUGAUGCACGAAAGCGUGGGGAUCGAACAGGAUUAGAUACCCGUGUAGUC
rnacentral:rRNA from 1 species